GAUGAAGAACGUAGCGAAAUGCGAUAAGUAGUGUGAAUUGCAGAAUUCAGUGAAUCAUCGAAUCUUUGAACGCACAUUGCGCCCCUUGGUAUUCCAUGGGGCAUGCCUGUUCGAGCGUCAUUUGUACCUUCAAGCUCUGCUUGGUGUUGGGUGUUUGUCUCGCCUCUGCGUGUAGACUCGCCUCAAAACAAUUGGCAGCUGGCGUAUUGAUUUCGGAGCGCAGUACAUCUCGCGCUUUGCACUCAUAACGACGACGUCCAAAAGUACAUUUUUACACUCUUGACCUCGGAUCAGGUAGGGAUACCCGCUGAACUUAAGCAUAUCAAUAAGCGGAGGA
rnacentral:misc_RNA from 1 species